CUUCAUAUAUCUUGAUGAUAUCCUCUUUUUAGUUUUUAUUACUUUUCAUUCAAUGGAGAUGGUUAAAGACCAGCAGCUACAAAAUACAGGUUAGUUUCUUAAACACUGCUCGUUAAAGAGAAACUCUUGCAUCUUUUUAAGGGAGCGAUGAGUGGAACCUGCUUGGUUAUUCUGGAACAGAAAUAAACACUAAAGGAACAUAAUUCUCACUGAUUUCCAACAUCCUCUUCUUUUAUUGAUUGCUUAAGAAUCACUGUUUUUUUAAUCAUCACUUAAGAAUCACUGUUUCUUCUAAUACGAUUUAAUAUUAAGUUAGAUAUUAUGACAAACAGGUAUGGCGAGCCUCUUGGUGUUCCUUGUAAUUGGCUAACAACCUUGCCAUGUCCCAUUUCAAUAUCUAAUGGUGAAACUUGAAAAAAAGUUAGAGAUUAUUUGGUUGGAAACCUGUCUUUGGUUUUAUGUCCAUUUUCUUCUCAAUAAUUUAAUGGCAUAAACUAAACAAAGAUACGAGACUUAACUAUACUAUUUAGUAUUUGGGUUGGUGAUGUAUUUUCAGAUGUUUUUCGGUGCCUAGAAUAUCCUAGGAGUCACUUAAACGUGUAUAAAGGUAGCAAAGGUCAAAUUAAAAGUGUGUUAAAUUUUGGUGUGAUGUUGAGCGCCUUGAACGUCCUCCUUUUGUGCAAGCUUUGGGCUUGAGCGUCCCUUGAGCGCUUGUUUGCGUAAGGUAUAGUGCUGAGCGCCUCCUACACGUCCUAUUCCAGUGGAUUCUGGUGCCUGGGCGUCCCUUUUCAGGUUUUUGGUUUUCAAGUUUCUAGGUUGUUUUGUGAUUUUUAAUGCAUUGUUUUGUAUACCUUGAUGAAUGUGUAAUGGUCUCAUGUGAGUUUUUGAUGUGUUACUUGAAGGUAUAUGUUUAUAUGAAUAGAAAACGUGGAAAGGAAUUUCAAGGAGGAAUUUACUAUUGGUUUUUAAGUGUUAUUAUAAAUAUAAGAAGCUUGAUAUGAGGGUUAUCCCGACACUAAUAAUGUCUUCCUCGAACUAGGUUGGGCCAAAGCACGAAGAUGAAGCUAUGGAGGUGGAAUUGAUGUGAAAGCUAUGUGUAUAGUGGUGGGAUCACGAUUUUUGUGAGGUUUUGGUGAGUAUUUAUUGUAGGAUGAGGUGUUUGAUGGAUCUUCAGAGAGGUUAGGCCAACUCUAGAGAAGAGUAGCUAGAGAGACCUCAUGGGGUGCUCUAGCCUUGAAUUGAGACAAGAUAUGUUUACACACAUUUUGGCAUAAUAACAUUCAAAUUCGUCAAGUGAUUUUACAAGGAGGGAGACCCCUCUAUUUAUAAAGAAAAGUGUCUCUAAAGUAGACAAGAAACCCUAAAAAUUAUCCACUCUUAAAGUGAUGUGGCAAUCCACUUUUACAAAGUUUCUCCACUCUUAAAGUGUCAUGUGGCAAUCGACUUUUGUAAAGUUUUCUCUACUCUUAAAGUACCAUGUGACAAUCCACUUUUGCAAAGUUCUUCCACUCUUAGAGUGCCAUGUGACAAUCCAUUUUUGCAAAGUUUCUCCACUCUUAGAGUGAUAUAUGUGGCAAUCCACUUUAGCAAGAGUUUCUCCAUUUAGAAAAUGACAUGUGGUCACUUCCUUCUUAAGAAAACUCUUCACUAAGGUUUUGCCAUGUCCCAUGGUGGGACACACUCAUUUAAGCUAAUAUUACAAACCAUACAAUACUUGGUCUGAUAAUGCUAAUUCUUACCAUUAUCUAAGCAUCAUUUUAGUAGCAAAAUCAACUCCUUUCUAGCUUAUAACCUUGUUUUAUCCUCACGUUUAGUGUGUUUUCUAGUUUUCUUGUGUUUAUUUAGUAUAUGCUUGUUUUUACCUCUAAUCUCUAUGUUUGAGUGUGUGAAAUAAAGGAUUNNN
rnacentral:lncRNA from 1 species